rnacentral:rRNA from 1 species
CCUACGGGUGGCUGCAGUGGGGAAUAUUGCACAAUGGGGGAAACCCUGAUGCAGCGACGCCGCGUGAAGGAAGAAGUAUUUCGGUAUGUAAACUUCUAUCAGCAGGGAAGAAAAUGACGGUACCUGACUAAGAAGCCCCGGCUAACUACGUGCCAGCAGCCGCGGUAAUACGUAGGGGGCAAGCGUUAUCCGGAUUUACUGGGUGUAAAGGGAGCGUAGGCGGCGAUGCAAGUCAGAAGUGAAAGCCCGGGGCCCAACCCCGGGACUGCUUUGGAAACUGUGUAACUGGAGUACAGGAGGGGCAGGCGGAAUUCCUGGUGUAGCGGUGAAAUGCGUAGAUAUCAGGAGGAACACCGGCGGCGAAGGCGGCCUGCUGGACUGAAACUGACGUUGAGGCUCGAAAGCGUGGGGAGCAAACAGGAUUAGAUACCCGGGUAGUC